rnacentral:rRNA from 1 species
GGGCCCGCACAAGCAGCGGAGCGUGUGGUUUAAUUCGAGGCUACACGAAGAACCUUACCUGGGCUUGACAUGACACUAGUAGGGAAGUGAAAGCGGACCGACCCGCAAGGGAGGUGUCACAGGUGCUGCAUGGCUGUCGUCAGCUCGUGCCGUGAGGUGUUAGGUUAAGUCCUGUAACGAGCGCAACCCCCGGAGCCAGUUACACGAUGUCUGGCUCGACUGCCCGUGACAAGCGGGAGGAAGGUGGGGAUGACGUCAAGUCAGCAUGGCCUUUAUGUCCAGGGCUACACACACGCUACAAUGGCCGGUACAAUGGGUCGCCAAGCCGCAAGGCGGAGCAAAUCCUAUCAAAGCCGGUCACAGUUCGGAUUGUGGGCUGCAACCCGCCCACAUGAAGUUGGAGUUGCUAGUAACCGCGCGUCAGCCAUAGUGCGGUGAAUACGUUCCCGGGCCUU